AUGGACCCUCGGCAGAUGUGGUGAUGGAGGCGAAAGUGCCACUGCUGUCUCAGACCACCUGUCGCAGUUCACUGGGGAAGGAGCUGCUCACGAACACCAUGUUCUGCGCUGGAUACCUGUCUGGAGGUAUCGACUCAUGCCAGGUAUCUCCACAUUAUCAUACUAGCUUGCAUUAUAAACACACACAGCUGAUGAAGAAACAAUGUAUCUGCUUUAUAAACGCUACGCCUGCUUUACAAUCAUCUGACUAGAAUCCGUGUCUUUGAAUGUGUACAGGGUGAUUCCGGAGGGCCGUUGAUCUACCAGGACGGUUUAUCGGGACGGUUUCAGCUCUUUGGCAUCACCUCUUGGGGGGAUGGCUGUGGGGAGAGGGGAAAGCCUGGUGUUUACACACGGGUCACCGCCUUCUCUGACUGGGUCAUGACAGAGAUACAGAGUGAGUUGCUCUACAUGUUGCACACACUACAAAACAAAGAAUAUCUCCACCACCAUGAGUUUAAACCCUCCCACAUUUUCUGAAAAGCCAGAAGUCCUGCUAAAAUCUUUUUACAUUCCAUUCUCCAAAUCCCAGAGUCCUUUGGGAGUCGGGAACCCACAUGUCCUGAGCUGCUUAAGACAAGUGAGCUGUCUGAAGAACAGCAGAUGUCAGAAUUCACCACGCUCUGCCACUUCUACACACUAUCCUGCUCUUCGACCCUCGACCCCUCUGCCUGCCAGCGUCUCGCUCAGGACAAAUGCCAAAGCCGGUUUAAGAAGUGCCAACUGCAUUCCUUUCUGCAGACUCUGCUGGACUUGCUUCAGAGGGCCGAUGACUGUAUCAGAGAUAAAGUUGAUCUGACCUUCUUCACUCAGACUCUUCCUCAGUUGGUGGAGAAUGUGUACAGCUCUGCUCAUAUAACACGAAGACGCAGAAAUGCACUUGAAACAGGUAGGCCAGCCAGCACUGUUCCAGCAAGUGGGCCCUCUGCUGGACGACUGGGAGAGCUACCUUACAGGCAUUGCUGAAGAUCUGGAUCAACACAAAGAACUAAAGAACUCACAGGAACUUUCUCAGGAGCAACAACUCUUCACACCGGAUGAGGACAGUGAAAAAGCACUUCUUCAGCAGCUUGACGGAUCACUGCUCUCCUCCAUUGCUUCCCUGCGUUCCAAGCUAGACUCACUGCGCAUUCCUGUCAUACCAGAAUUGGACCACCGACUGUUUCAAAGGGAUUUCACCAUUCCCACCACUGGAAAACAACAACAGGAUAAUAGUGCCAAAUCUAGGGAGUCUGUAUUGUCAGCUGACUUUUGGACUGCUCUGAUAUAUAAAGCUCUGAGAGGAAGUGGCACAGGAAGUGUUACAGGAAGUCCGGUGAUGACAGCAUCCCCUCAGGAUCAUAUGGAUACAACAUCCAGAUCUGUGGAACCUUCCACACAACCACUGAAACUCAAGACACUGGAACCUUCUGAUUCUGUCCCUACCCAGAUGCCCCUGCUUCAACAGCCACUCUUCAAAAAGCUCCUGUGGAGGAGAAAGAGAGAUCUACACAAGCGACAGAUACAAGGAGCCAAUGACAAAG
ensembl:lncRNA